GUUUGAUCCUGGCUCAGGAUGAACGCUAGCGGCAGGCUUAAUACAUGCAAGUCGAGGGGCAGCAUGACUGUAGCAAUACAGUUGAUGGCGACCGGCAAACGGGUGCGGAACACGUACAGAACUUCCUUCGAGCGGGGAAUAGCCCAGAGAAAUUUGGAUUAAUACCCCAUAGUACAACGGAGUGGCAUCACUUUGUUGUUAAAGAUUUAUCACUUGAAGAUGGCUGUGCGGCUGAUUAGGUAGUUGGCGGGUAACGGCCCACCAAGCCUGCGAUCAGUAACUGGUGUGAGAGCACGACCAGUCACACGGGCACUGAGACACGGGCCCGACUCCUACGGGAGGCAGCAGUAAGGAAUAUUGGUCAAUGGACGAAAGUCUGAACCAGCCAUGCCGCGUGGAGGAUGAAGGUCCUCUGGAUUGUAAACUUCUUUUAUAUGGGACGAAAAAGGGUUUUCUAACUCGUCUGACGGUACCAUAUGAAUAAGCACCGGCUAACUCCGUG
rnacentral:rRNA from 1 species